rnacentral:lncRNA from 1 species
GAGAAUGUAGCAUACAUUCUAAAUCUGCAGCAGGAUUCUGACAUUGAAUAUUGGGGGAUUGACUUGCAGUCUAUAAGAGAAAGAUGUCAAGAACUUGGCAUCCGUCACAUGAGAAGGCCUGUAAGCAAACAUUAAUCAUUUGAAACAUAUACAAGACUCUGGAAUGCUAUAUUUUGAAUGAGCCUUUCUUUUUCUUAAAUUUUUUUGGAUAUGUGUAUGAAUACAUUCUAAAAUCUACCAGUUACUUUGUUUUUGUUAAAUGAUAUGAUUUGGGGACCAAUUUUUUAUACUUCAGGCGAAAGAUUUUGAUCCAGAUUCAUUGAGAAGUAUAUUACCUAAGGCUGUUUCUUCAUUGGAAUGGGCCAUUUCCGAGGGGAAAGGCAGAGUUUAUGUGCAUUGCACAGCCGGACUGGGAAGGGCUCCUGCCGUUACAAUUGCUUACAUGUUCUGGUUCUGCGACAUGAAUGUCAGUGGUCCUCAACUAUUUUUGCUAAAUAUUUUAUUUCACUUCUUGGCCUGUUAGGAAAUUUCAGGUUUUUUUCUGGAUAAUGAUUCGCUACAUCUAACAAUUUUUUAUGUUAAUAAUCAUUUAUGGCUGUUAAAC